rnacentral:rRNA from 1 species
UACGUAGGGUGCGAGCGUUGUCCGGAAUUACUGGGCGUAAAGAGCUCGUAGGUGGUUUGUCGCGUUGUCCGUGAAAACUCACAACUCAAUUGUGGGCGUGCGGGCGAUACGGGCAGACUGGAGUACUGCAGGGGAGACUGGAAUUCCUGGUGUAGCGGUGGAAUGCGCAGAUAUCAGGAGGAACACCGGUGGCGAAGGCGGGUCUCUGGGCCGCUACUGACGCUGAGAAGCGAAAGCGUGGGGAGCGAACAGG